rnacentral:rRNA from 1 species
UACAGAGGUCUCAAGCGUUGUUCGGAUUCAUUGGGCGUAAAGGGUGCGUAGGUGGCAUGGUCAGUCGGAUGUGAAAUCCCGGGGCUCAACCCCGGAACUGCAUUCGAUACUGCCGCGCUAGAGUACUGGAGAGGAGAUUGGAAUUUACGGUGUAGCAGUGAAAUGCGUAGAUAUCGUAAGGAAGACCAGUGGCGAAGGCGGGUCUCUGGACAGUUUCUGACACUGAGGCACGAAGGCCAGGGGAGCAAACGGG